GACGAACGCUGGCGGCGUGCUUAACACAUGCAAGUCGAGCGGAGCGGCGAACGGGUGAGUAACGCGUGAGUCACUGCCACCCUCUCUGGGAUAACAGUCGGAAACGGCUGCUACUACCGGAUAGUGGGGGAUGACACGCGUCCUAUCAGCUUGUUGGUGGGGUAGUGGCCUACCAAGGCGACGACGGGUAACAGGCCUGAGAGGGCGCCCGGCCACAUUGGGCGGAGAUAAGGCCCAAAAUGCUACGGGAGGCAGCAGUGGGGAAGAUUGCACAAUGGGGGAAACCCUGAUGCAGCAACGCGCGUGCGGGAUGACGGCCUUCGGGGUGUAAACCGCUUUCAUCUAUGACGCGGUAGUGGCAGAAGAAGCACCGGCUAACUACGUGCCAGCAGCCGCGGUAAUAC
rnacentral:rRNA from 1 species